UGUAUCUAAAAAGGAGACAUUACACUUUUUAAAUGUAUGCAUAAAGAAGAUUUUAACAUUUUUUUUUCAGAAGGACCAGUAGGAAUGCUCAGCAGGUGGUAUUGCUUGAUUUGCAAACCUGUAACCUGGGAUUCCACAGUGAAAGAAGAAAAUGGACUCCAGAAGGUUGUCCUCUAAUCUCCCUAUGCAUGAUGUGGCAUCUUACAAAGGGGUCUCAUGUAGGAGAGUCCGGGGAACCAUAACUCCAAGAAUGAGCAUCCUGCACUAUAAAUGGUGAAUCUGGAAUAAAAAGGCUUGGAAUUAGGAGGAAAGAAUACAAUAUGGAACACUCGCCUUUGCCAUACAGCACACCAAGUCCUUAUUUGAAGGAACCACUGUCAAUCAACUAAUAACCGGCACCAAGUUUUUAAGAAGUGCCACUUAAUGGACUAGGUAAGUAUGAAGGAUAUGAAAUGGAUGAAUGUAUGUGGUAUCAUUCCAAGAGAGAGGAGCUGAGCUGAAAGGAUGAAUCAAAGACACACAAGAGAUACACAAGACAGCGAGAGCCGAAUGUAGCAUAUACCAUGUGUUAUGGUCACCGAAGACACAGGAUGGGGUGUUCUUUCCAAUUUGACCUUGAGCCAUUGCCAGCCAGAGCUCUUCCUGUACUGAGAAUCUGAAGACCAUCCCCUGCUCCUCCCAGGGCACCAGUGGGGAAUUCUCCUUUCUUCCAAUUGUUUUUUAAAUAAUUGGUGAGUAAAUUUGAUCUUUACAUGCACAACAAUUGUUUUGAAGCUACAAGAGCACAACGUGACUUGUCUCAACCCUGGUUUUCCUUCCCAUGGUCAGUUCUGGCUCAUGUAGAGGGAACUUAGGACUUUAAGUUAGGAGUACUCUGUCCAUUUGGUAGCCCAGUAUGAGGUCAGGAAGCCUGGCUCUGUAAUCUUUAAGAUUACUUCUAGAUAUAAGCACAGAACCUGCCCCUAUAUGUCCUGAAUAGCUGCAAUAUCACCCUGACUCUGAGUAACAGCCAGAGAUCCAGGACAAGUCUCCUGGCAAAGGUCCAGUAUUUAUGGUGCUUCAGAAACUAGAAACCUUGAACCAGACCAGUGACUUGUUGCAACGAAUAUUUACAUGUAGAGCUGCCUGGGAAAAUAUAUAUUGUAGCACAAAUAAUAAAAACACAGAGAUAGAGAUUGGAGUUCAAGUUGAAGAUCAGAUAAGAAAGCGGCCAGUCACUAGAGAGUUCUCACCUCUACCAAUACUUAGACCGAACGGGCGAUCCACAAUCCACUGAAACUCAGACUGUUCCCGACUGUACUGCUGCCCAGACUUAGCGAGACUGCAACAUGUUUCUGCCUCUUUCUGUCUUAUAUUACUCUCUCCAUCAAACCAUAUCACUCCUGUCUCCACCUUCCUAGUAUUGGGUUGAAAGGUAUUAGCUCUGUUUCUCUUUUAGACUGAUUCGCUUUCAUGUAGUCUAGGGUAGACUUGAACUCACAAAGAUCCAUCUGCCUCUGCCUUCUGAGUGCUGGGAUUAAAUGUAUGUACUACCACUGCCUGGCCUCUGACUGGCCAGCUUUGUACUCUGAUCUUGAGUCAAUCUUUAUUAGUUCGUAAAUAAAGUAUCACCACAAUA